rnacentral:rRNA from 1 species
UACUAGGCCGUGAUGUCAUGCUCGUGGCCGCUAUGUACAGGCCGCGGGAAUUCGAUUUUAGCAUGGAAUAAUGGAAUAGGACGUGUGGUUCUAUUUUGUUGGUUUCUAGGACCGCCGUAAUGAUUAAUAGGGACAGUCGGGGGCAUCAGUAUUCAAUUGUCAGAGGUGAAAUUCUUGGAUUUAUUGAAGACUAACUACUGCGAAAGCAUUGCCAAGGAUGUUUUCAUUAAUCAGGAACGAAAGUUAGGGGAUCGAAGACGAUCAGAUACCGUCGUAGUCUUAACCAUAAACUAUGCCGACUAGGGAUCGGACGAUGUUAUUUUUUGACGCGUUCGGCACCUUACGAGAAAUCAAAGUGCUUGGGCUCCAGGGGGAGUAUGGUCGCAAGGCUGAAACUUAAAGAAAUUGACGGAAGGGCACCACCAGGGGUGGAGCCUGCGGCUUAAUUUGACUCAACACGGGGAAACUCACCAGGUCCAGACACAAUGAGGAUUGACAGAUUGAGAGCUCUUUCUUGAUUUUGUGGGUGGUGGUGCAUGGCCGUUCUUAGUUGGUGGAGUGAUUUGUCUGCUUAAUUGCGAUAACGAACGAGACCUUAACCUGCUAAAUAGCCCGUAUUGCUUUGGCAGUACGCUGGCUUCUUAGAGGGACUAUCGGCUCAAGCCGAUGGAAGUUU